rnacentral:rRNA from 1 species
UACGGGAGGCAGCAGUGGGGAAUCUUCCGCAAUGGGCGAAAGCCUGACGGAGCAACGCCGCGUGGGUGAGGAAGUUCUUCGGAACGUAAAGCCCUGUUGUACAUGACGAACGUGUAUCCUAUCAACAACGGGAUGCAAUGACGGUAGUGUACGAGGAAGCCACGGCUAACUACGUGCCAGCAGCCGCGGUAAU